UUAAUUGGAAUUCUAAAAGGAAGAAAAUGAGUGUGUUUCCUACAGAUGUUCACUUCACGUCGGAGAAAGUCACCCACCAGGUCCAUCUUGUCGCGAGACCUGAGCUUUUCACUGGGUGCGUACAUGUGGUCAUCUACUGCCUCUGAGAGAGGGGAAAGGAGGGAGAAAGAAAGCAAGAGAAACACGGACACAAGAGGGAAACAUCAUCUGCACCCUCACCAGGGACCACGCCCGCAGCGCGAAUGCAGCACUUUCGUGGCAAAUGAAGACCUGCGCAGACAGCUUCACUGAGCCCAGGGAGUCAGCGGGGCCGCGUGGCACACGGUCCCUGCGGGACGCGCGGGGUGCUGUCUAGCAAACCCGGACGAGCAUGGCGUGGCUGUCGCUCAGCCAGGAUUUUGACUUCACAUGCGUCUAUUGAACGGAACACAGGGUUGCCACAAAGUAAUAUUUUAAAACAAACACAGGAAAAUCACCCCACUGCAAAUCCAUGUGGUGACAUCCUAAUGCCCAGCGUGAUGGUGUGAGAAGCGGGGUCUUUGGGAGGUGAGUGGAUCGUGAGGGUGGAGCCCCGGUGAAUGGGAUUAGCGUUCUUAUAAAAGAGGCCCCAGAGGGAGGUCUUGUUCUCUCACCCCGUGUGGGGACAUGUCUGCAGCCUGGAAGAGGGCCCUCACCCAACCACGCUGGCUCCCUGCUCUCAGACUUCCAGGCUCCAGAACUCUGGGAACUGAACGUUCAUUGUUUGGAAGCUUCCCCAUCUGUGGUAUUUCGUUAUAGCAAUCUGAGCAGACUGAGGCAAGCAUCACCAUGCCAUCCGAACAAUGUGGCUUCUGAACAGGGGAUGGUGUCCCUGCUCAGGAAUUAGGAAGUCACAGGGUUCCCUGUUCUGCCCACAGCCUCACCACCUGGGAGCCACGGGCCGCAGAGCACCAGUUCCAGGGUUGGUGGGAGACAAUACUUGGUCAGAUCCGGGUGUGUCAGCCCUGACAUGGUUAUUCGCUCCCAACCAGCAACCACAGUCAGAAUACAUUGUUUGGGGAUCCAAAAAUGGAAAUACAGUGGUAUCUCUCAACAUUCCAUCUAAUAAUUCAUUCACAAAAGGUGAAAAGUUUGAUUAUCUUCAGUGCUGCUGGUUUAGAAGUCUGAGAUGCCACAGACACGAUUAUUCCACCAUCAGAGUCCACCUUGUUCCCAUAGCUACGAACUGCCCUUUGCCCAUUUCAGGCUCCUUGCGUCCCUGCAUAAACAGGGGACAAAGGAGGGUUACCACUUUCACUGGGGAGAUUAGAAUGGUUACUAAGGGGAACUGGAGUUGCUGUUGAAUUAGGCAGACAAUGGGAGAAUAGUCCUCAAACCAAGAAAUCCUAUGGGGUUGUCCCAUAUCAUGUCGUGUCAAGUGGAAAAAGUCACCGGGAGACCAGGGGAACCAAUACCACAAGGACCUCACUAAGACUCGUGCCCUUCGUGCGUGAAGGUUGAGUUAUUCCCUGAAUAAAGAACCGUAACCUGCCGAGGCCCUGGCUGAGGCAAAGAACUGGCAGUGGAGUGAAGAAGCUAUAAAUAACAAACACUAAAUGAAGCCUCAUGAUCAGCUGUAGUUGACAUAUUUCUUCUCUCCAAGCUGUGUCAUAUCUUCGUCUUUUUCCAUUUUCCCUCUUGCUUUACAGAGAGACAGUUUAUCAUUGUGUCCACAGGUUGGACUGUAACAGUACAAGAUCGUAAUUAAACUAAAGAGGGGAAGACAAGAGCCAGGGAUGAAGGCUGCAACUGAUGACACUUUGGGUCUCUGCUUUGGAAGUGAAGUUGCAUGUAUUCCCAUUUGCAUGAGGGUUGAUUUCGCUAUAAUAAUGAGAGCAUUUUUGUGGUCGUUAUUGCGGUUUGAAAGUGAAGUCCUGGAAGAAGGGUGUUCGCUGUUGUCAAGUAGCCAAAGGUGAGACUGUGGCAAAAUCUGAUACUGGCUUCACCCAGGCUAUUCCAAACCCUUGUGCUGGGCCCUGAUGCAAGCUGGAGGCUGAGAAACCAAAGACUACCUUUCCCAGACAUCCUUCCAGCACAGAUCUCCCAUGUGACCUUGCCACCCCAGCCCUCUCUAAAAUAGAAUGGGAGAAGCAGUGGGGAGGCCCAGAUCUGGGCUACGUUUUCAGCUGCAAUAGAAAUUUCAGGAGUGUUGGAGUAGAAAGAUGGGAGUUUGAAUCCUGCCUCCAGGUCUUAUGAGAAUGUGGGUAAUUUCCCGGCCUUCUCAGAGCUGAGCCUCAGCAUCGCAGAUGCAUACUAAUAACCCACUAUGGAAAACUUGUUACAGGAAAUAAGUAAGAUCGUGAGUGUAAACCCCCUGACAGAGCACCUGGCACAUGGCAUCAGAUGUUGGUUCCUCAUUCCUUAACAACUGAGAGAUCUACCUGUUUAGCAGUUUGGUAAUUCAUCCAAUCUUUCCCAGAGGUAUAAUGAGUGAAAAAAAUAUAUAUGCCACAUUGUGAGAAUGAUAAUAAAAGAAUUUGU